rnacentral:rRNA from 1 species
CCUACGGGAGGCAGCGGUGAGGAAUAUUGGUCAAUGGACGAGAGUCUGAACCAGCCAAGUAGCGUGAAGGAUGACUGCCCUAUGGGUUGUAAACUUCUUUUAUAUGGGAAUAAAACGUUCCACGUGUGGGAUUUUGUAUGUACCAUAUGAAUAAGGAUCGGCUAACUCCGUGCCAGCAGCCGCGGUAAUACGGAGGAUCCGAGCGUUCUCCGGAUUUAUUGGGUUUAAAGGGAGCGUAGGUGGAUUGUUAAGUCAGUUGUGAAAGUUUGCGGCUCAACCGUAAAAUUGCAGUUGAAACUGGCAGUCUUGAGUACAGUAGAGGUGGGCGGAAUUCGUGGUGUAGCGGUGAAAUGCUUAGAUAUCACGAAGAACUCCGAUUGCGAAGGCAGUUCACUGGACUGCAACUGACACUGAGGCUCGAAAGUGUGGGUAUCAAACAGGAUUAGAUACCCGGGUAGUC